rnacentral:misc_RNA from 1 species
GAUGAAGAACGUAGCGAAAUGCGAUACUUGGUGUGAAUUGCAGAAUCCCGUGAACCAUCGAGUCUUUGAACGCAAGUUGCGCCCGAAGCCAUUAGGCCGAGGGCACGCCUGCCUGGGCGUCACACGUCGUUGCCCCCCCAUCUACUCCUUCGGGAUUGCGGGGGGCGGAUGAUGGCCUCCCGUGCGCCUCGUCGCGCGGUUGGCAUAAAUGCCAAGUCCUCGGCGACGCACGCCACGACAAUCGGUGGUUGCGAAACCUCGGUUGCCCGUCGUGUGCGGUCGUCGCGCAUCGAGGGCUCGAAAAAAUUGCCGGGCUCCGGCUCGGCUUUCAACGUGACCCCAGGUCAGGCGGGGUUACCCGCUGAAUUUAAGCAUAUCAAUAAGCGGAGGA